rnacentral:lncRNA from 10 species
UAUAAGCAGCCCUUUCAGGUUGCCCUGGAGACAAUGGCAGAAGAUACAAGAGGUCAUGUGUCUGGCCCCAGAUCUUUACUUUUUAGAUGGAUAAACUGAUACUGAACAAAGCCACCCAAGGAUCUGUCAGACGACAUUUGUGCUCUUGGAUCACUCAGUGCUGUGCUGCCUUAGCCCAGGAAUGCCCUGAAUUGUUUUCCUUCCAGAGACAAGGUCUGCUACAUUUGAGUUCUCUUUCUCAUUUUCUUGCCAUGUGAAAUGAAAGUAAUUCCUCAGUCCUGUCAAUACCACCCUUUUCAUAGUGCUCAUGGUUGUCUCCCAGUACCACGAUUCCCCUUUGAUCGUUUUAUACUUCAGGUCUUGUUCGGUCUCAGCUGCCCUCCGAUGAUGGCUGCCUCACCGAUCCCCCUCACUCUACUCUCACCUGUGUGAGAAGCAGCAGAACCUGUGACUAAUGGUCAAGGGCAUAGGUGCUGCAGCCAGACUCCCCAUUUCAUACCAAAGAAAGACCAAACCCUUGAGCUUGGCCUUCAGCUCUUAUAUUAUCUUCCUCCAAUCUAUUUUCCAAACUUCUUUUCCAUUAAAUUGCCACAUACACCUUCCAGCAACCAGAGCUUCUGGACAUCUCUGUCUCAUAUUUUUGCUUCCUUGUCUUUAUGCCUCUGCACAGCUAACUCUCUGCACAUUAAAAUUCCGUUCUUUUUCAAGAUACAAAAACCAAUGGAAUUCUUUCUCAAGAACGCUUCCCUGAUCUUCCUGGCAGACAGUAAUCUAUUUACUUUGUUGACUCCCACAGUGUUUUAUUAGACCUCUCUUUGGCACUUCAUCAUGUUUUAUUAUUGAUUGUAGUUAUUUGUGUAUCCAUCUACCCAACUGGAAUGUAAAC